CACGUAGGGGGCGAGCGUUGUCCGGAAUUACUGGGCGUAAAGGGCGCGCAGGCUGUUAUGCGAGUCUGCUGUGAAAUGUACCGGCUCAACCGGUGCCUUGCGGCGGAUACUGCAUAGCUGGAGUACUGGAGAGGGAAGUGGAAUUCCUAGUGUAGCGGUGAAAUGCGUAGAUAUUAGGAGGAACACCAGUAGCGAAGGCGGCUCUCUGGACUGUAACUGACGCUGAGGCACGAAAGCGUGGGGAGCAAACAGGAUUAGA
rnacentral:rRNA from 1 species